rnacentral:rRNA from 1 species
ACGGACCAACGGUGAAGGCACCUGUUCCCGUCAGAUUACCGAAGCAAAUCAACGGUCGGCUUGGUUACCACUUGCAUGGGUGUAACCGGCUCGGAUGCAGUCGGUGUUACGGUC